GUGGGGAAUAUUGGACAAUGGGGGGAACCCUGAUCCAGCCAUGCCGCGUGUGUGAAGAAGGCCUUUUGGUUGUAAAGCACUUUAAGCGAGGAGGAGGCUACCGAGAUUAAUACUCUUGGAUAGUGGACGUUACUCGCAGAAUAAGCACCGGCUAACUCUGUGCCAGCAGCCGCGGUAAUACAGAGGGUGCAAGCGUUAAUCGGAUUUACUGGGCGUAAAGCGCGCGUAGGUGGCCAAUUAAGUCAAAUGGGAAAUCCCCGAGCUUAACUUGGGAAUUGCAUUCGAUACUGGUUGGCUAGAGUAUGGGAGAGGAUGGUAGAAUUCCAGGUGUAGCGGUGAAAUGCGUAGAGAUCUGGAGGAAUACCGAUGGCGAAGGCAGCCAUCUGGCCUAAUACUGACACUGAGGUGCGAAAGCAUGGGGAGCAAACAGGAUUAGAAACCCGGGUAGUCC
rnacentral:rRNA from 1 species